rnacentral:rRNA from 1 species
GUGGGGAAUCUUGCGCAAUGGGCGAAAGCCUGACGCAGCCAUGCCGCGUGGAUGAUGAAGGUCUUAGGAUUGUAAAAUCCUUUCACCGGUGAAGAUAAUGACUGUAGCCGGAGAAGAAGCCCCGGCUAACUUCGUGCCAGCAGCCGCGGUAAUACGAAGGGGGCUAGCGUUGCUCGGAAUUACUGGGCGUAAAGGGAGCGUAGGCGGACAUUUAAGUCAGGGGUGAAAUCCCGAGGCUCAACCUCGGAACUGCCUUUGAUACUGGGUGUCUUGAGUGUGAGAGAGGUGAGUGGAACUCCGAGUGUAGAGGUGAAAUUCGUAGAUAUUCGGAAGAACACCAGUGGCGAAGGCGACUCACUGGCUCAUUACUGACGCUGAGGCGCGAAAGCGUGGGGAGCAAACAGGAUUAGAAACCCUGGUAGUCC